CAAAGACUUUACUUGGUAUCACAACAUGACGGAUUUGCAUGAUGCAAUAAUUAUGUCACAGUUGAAACGCGAACGUUGUUUACCCGAAACGUCAUGACGUCAUCCCCAUUUUAUGGAAAGCUGUUAGCUGUUCCUAAAUGCUAAACAGCAAUUGAGUUGAAAUUGGAUUGAUUUGAAAGACAAUGACAACACCAAAGGAGAAGGCCCAAUGUGUGUGGUGGUAUGCUGAAAGUAAAUCACCAAUUACCGUUCAGCGACAAUUCCAGGAGGAAUAUGGAAAAGAUCCUCCUUCCAAAUCCUACAUAAUGAGAUGGGUCAAAAACUUUCAGGAGACUGGUAGCGUUGAGGACUUAGACUUGCCUCGGAGUGGACGACCAGGUGUCAGUCAAGAAACUGUCGACAAGGUGCAAGAUGCGUUUCAACGUAGUCCUCAAAAGUCUAUCCGUUGUGCAUCACGAGAAUUGCAGGUGGUAUCCCUAUUGGCGAUGGCUCAGCAUCUGUAACAUAUAUCAUGAAAUGUACAAGCCGUAGACCAAGAAAAUAAGAGAAGCCAUUAAUGAUGCCAUAGAUUUUGAAGGAGCCAGGGCAUCCAACCAGGUCAAAGGACUGCAGCUCCUUACACUAUAAUUGUAACAUCAAAAAUAAAACGUGAGGUCAACAAGAAGAAUGACCAAGGAAAAGAAAAGCAUCGCACACUGAAGAGGAAGAAUUGUGGAAUAGCAGGACCCAAGUGUAUGCCAAAAUAAAAUGUUGUCCUAAUCCCACUAAGAGAGCAGGUGACCAACAGCGGUGGAGGUGCUAAAGUCAAAGAAUCUCAAAUAUUAGCUGAAGAAGGCUGCACAUGAAAGCUUGGACAUAGUAGUGUUUAGCUCAUAUGAACAGGUCUCACUCAAGGGCUGCUUGUGAUGAGGACAGAGUACAUCUUUGUAAGCAGGCUUGCUGCCACCACCAAAACAUUCAGCAAAAGAAAAUUGUUGAGUGGUGUAAUGCUGACAUGAAGUGGCAGUCAAUUUCUAGAAGAUUCGAGGACCCUAAAGAGGAAGGGAACUUAGAAGUGGUAGACAUACAAAGGCAAAGUACCUCUUUUGGAAGGUCCUUCCCAAUAAUACCCAGUCCCUGAUACAUGAACCAAGUGGGCUGGGCCACAAACCAAUUUUAUACUAAUGUUAAAGGUUCAUGAAUGCUUUUGUAGCAUGACAUAGGUUUGCAGAAGUAAGCACACACCUCUAUCUCUACAAUAAGACAAGGAAUUAGAUGAUGCUAUAAAUACAUUAUUUUAUUUGUUUUACUCAACCUUGAUGUUAGAAAUACAUCAUUGAAUUUGUUUUAACGCAACCAUGUUUCCAUGCUACUAUAGUUAAGUCAUAAUGUAAAGAAAGAUAGUAUUCUAUAAAUUUUUGUUUAUCCAUGAUUCUAAUAAUCUUUGCUCACCCAGGCCAAAGUGCUUUUGUAUGCAGUUAUUUUGUAUGGUGAAUAACUAAUGUUUUACAGGUAACACCAAACUAUCAUUACUAUCAGUAAAUAAAUUUCCAAGAAAA